UACGUAGGGAGCAAGCGUUGUCCGGAUUUAUUGGGCGUAAAGAGCGUGUAGGCGGCCUGACAGGUCUGCUGUGAAAACUCGAGGCUCAACCUCGAGAUGUCGGCGGAAACCGUCUGGCUAGAGUCCGGAAGAGGAGAGUGGAAUUCCCGGUGUAGCGGUGAAAUGCGUAGAUAUCGGGAGGAACAUCAGUGGCGAAGGCGGCUACCUGGUCCAAUACUGACACUCAGGUGCGACAGCGUGGGGAGCAAACAGG
rnacentral:rRNA from 1 species